CAGGCAGCCUAGCGGUUCAGAGUGUUGUAACCGAAAGGUCGCUGGUUUGAAUCGCCCACCUGGCAAGGUGCACAAUCUGCCGCUCUGCCUUUGAAUACGGCAGUUAACCACCAACAACUGCGCCGGUGACAACUCCCUGUUUUAUCCAUGAACAUUAUAAUGUUGUAGAUUGCAAUGCAUCUUGGAUCGCCGAACGAUUAGUUUGUAACAGUAAAUGUUAAGCAAACAAAAUACAGGCAUGAUGAUUUACAGCUAAUAACGGUUCAUCCUAGGCCCAUUGGAUUAUGGGAUUGCGCUGUCUUUCCGGGUGAAUUCUUGUACAAGACCUCUACACCGAAGCAGCCAUCAAGUGGGUUAAAUCAUCAUUUACAUUCAUCAGCCAUACAAUGAGAAGACAAUGUCUCGCUACAUUACGUCUCCCAACGUAAAAUAGCCUACAGAAUCACAUCGCUUAUCGUAAAGAAUUGGCCAUUUGGGCACAUUGCGCUUUCCACAUGCCCCGGUAGCCUAGCGAUGGAAGCGGACAUCUGCAAUUGCGGACAAGCUAGCAAGUGUGGGAAUAGAGGGAAAGCCAGACCUUCAAUUUCUUAAAGAAGAAGCCCUACAGGAUCACAUCAGACCAAUACAAUGCCAGAAGCUGCUAAAUGCAUGGAGAUUUGAAGGACAAGCAAGGUGUGACACAGCUGGUGCCAUCGAGGAUGCAUCAACAUUUGAGCCAUCAAGCCCUUCCCCUUCACAGUCAUCCUCCACAUCCAGCACAACCCGGUCAACAACCAGUACGACCAGUACUGUAGACCUGGACAUCUGGCCGGAGAACUUCACUGUCUGUUGGUGCAAAAUGUCCAUGAACCUGAGAUCAGCCAUCGCCAGAGGCACACAGCCAACCUCAGGAGAACAAAGAGAGAUGGUGAGAAUUACAGUAGAUGCAAUGACAGUACCCGAAAAGCGUUACUGAUACAAUGAAAGAUGGCACUACAAUUGGGAGUGGCUAUGAAUCCCUCUUAAAAAUGAAGAGGAAAACAUGCGUUGAGCAUAAGAAUUGUGAUUAUCCUCUAGUACGCCUAAGAAGGAGAAAAACACUCUCAGGCUCAUCGACUGUAGUCAGUGCAAGAGGGCCAACUGACAAAUACGGCUGUGUGAGAUGGCAGCCUGACUUUCCCACAGAGGAAAAUACAGCGGGGCUCCUGAGUGGCACAGCGGUCUAAGGCACUGCAUCUCAGUAUUAGAGGUGUCACUACAGACACCCUGGUUCGAUUCCAGGCUGUAUCACAACCGGCCGUCAUCCGGGUAUCAGAACUCAGGAUAAGACCCAGGUGCAGACAGCUAGAGUCACAGAUGUUUAUUGACCUGAACAGGGGUUAGGCAAAAGACAGGUCAAAGGCAGGCAGAGGUCCAUAAUCUAGGGCAGAGUCAAUAAGGUACAGGACAGCAGGCAGGCUCGGGGUCAGGACAGGCAGAGGUCAGAACCGGGGAAACAAGAAAACAGACUGGUAAGACGAGACAAGACAAGACGAACUGGCAACCAACAAACAGAGAACACAGAUAUAUAAAUACACUGGGGACAGUGAGGAAGAUGGGUGACACCUGGAGGGGGGUGGAGACAAGCACAAAGACAGGUGAAACAGAUCGGAGUGUGACGCCGGUGUAGGCAGUCAUUGUAAAUAAGAAUUUGUUCUUAACUGACUUGCCUAGUUAAAUAAAGUUUAAAUUAAAAAAAAUGUACAGAAGAAACUUUGGAGGCAAAGAGUAAGGAAAAGGAGCAGCUUUAUUCCAGAGAAGGGCCGGCAUGAGGUGACUGAGGACAACUCUCGCAGCUCACGCAAGCAACAUUUUAUUUACAGCGCUGUGCCAUCAACGCUAGCCCAGCACCUAAGAUAGCCGAGCUGAGGAGUAAGUGGUCGUACCUUUUCACACAGAAGGAACUCUACAACCACUUCAAGUUACUGAUACAUGUCUCAAUCCUGGGAAAAAAAACUGAUGCAACAAUGGUAGAAAAACGAAAGAUUAUCAUACAAUACUUCCUCUACAAUCCAACAAAUGAAGAGGUUCGGCACAUCCUGUCAAUGUUUGAAAAGGGUGGAGCGACUGCAGUUGGCCCUUAUGUUGUCCUCCUGCUGAUGGCCCAUUUCCAAGAAAGGACGGAUGCAUUCCUUCUACAGGCCGAUGUGUCAGACACAGCUACAGAUGUGGAGGGAUCAAUUCCCCUUCCGGACUCACCAAGACUGAUUCUUCAAGGAGACACAAUGACUGCUGCCAAAUGGAUGAUGAGCAUUGAGAAGGAGGUCGUGAUGCCAGUCCACUCCAACUUUGUGGCAGCGCUGGCAGCUUUUUUUUUGCCUCAUUCUACACCUUCAAUCUUCAGUACCAAACGGAGGCUUCACGCACCCUGGAGUUCAUCCAAAGAUGUUUUGCUGGAAUCAGUCCAUCCACUGCCUCGAAGACCGCCACAGCAGAGGACAUCAGCAAGAAAAGCGGAAAGGUAGUGGAGAAGAUAAUGGACUUUGAACAGCUAUAGGCAAGCUCCUCUUGGGCAUACAUUUCAUUUAUUUUUGUCAAUUGUGACCUACUCAAGUAAGUUUGGUUUGUCACUAGGUUUGACUCUUUUUUUGUGUUUUACAACUUAAGUGUUUGAAAAUGAUCCAGUAUGCACUGAAAUUGACACAUUGUUGAGGAAGUAAUGCUACUUUGGAUGUUUGGAAAUGUCUGGCAUUUACUCAGAACUUGAGUAGGCAACCCUUAUUAAAGCUUGAGUAUGUCAUUUUGGGAAGGGCAUAAUUAGAAAUCUGGGAAUAGGACAAAAUAUCCAUUGACAUUUUUUAUAACCAUUGUCUCACAUAAUUAAGAAGUCCAAUUACCCUUCCCAAAACGACAUACUGUGUUUAACCUGGGAGUGAAGGUAAUAACAAGCCUCCUAAGAUAAGGCCAAGCAGACAUGUUGCACACAACUUUGUCGAGAGUAGGCUUACUACCUCUCUUAGUAGGAAACAAGAUACAUUAAAAAAAAUAAAAAAUGAGCUCAAAGCGAGCCAAUGCAAUUUUUGAGUUACCUGUGUCCGAAAGGUUACUUUUAUUUCAAAAGCUAAGAUACAUACAGCAAACCAGGGCCUUUCUUUUCUGUAAUUCUGUCACUUUCUAUGCUGAACCAGUUAUAAACAUGCACCUUAUUUAGGAUGUUGAUCUAUUUUGAAGAUUGAUAUAUUUGAAACCUUUUUGUUGACAAAAAAUGUCUUUGCAUCUGAAUGAAGAAUAGCCUUGUGACAAACUAUCAUUAUUUUUUAUGUCACAUACAAGCUAGAAUAUCAUUAAACAUCAUUUUGUGCAAUUUUUCAAUUUGUAAAGGAAGAUGCUUCUCAGUUGUGUAGAUGGAGUGGUUGCAUCCAUCCUAACUAAUGAUAUAAUGGAAACCCUUAAUUUGGUGAAGUUAUGUCAUACCAAUACUGUUCAGAUUAACAAUUGUAUUCUAUCCUGAUGAAUCAUUUUCAGAUGUACACUUUUUGAUAGGUGCUAAGGGAAAAGUGUAGGUUUGUAAUUGAGGCGUUUGUGAUGCAGCCCAUUUGGCUACGGUUUAUUGGCAUUUCCCACCGAGCAUCGGUGAAGUUGUACUCUGGGCGUUUAUUGAUUGUGUUUAUUGUCACUUUUUUGGUUUGUUUACAUUAAACCAUGCUUAAGAACAUAUUAUUUGUAUUGUGUUUACUUGUUUUUGUAAUGCAAGUGUUUUAGAAGUUUACAGUACUAUUGGCAUAUUUUAUCUGUAAAUGUCAUAUGCUACUGUAAAAGCACAUACAAAAGAUAACUAGUUUUACAGCAAAACACUGUAAAAUAAAUUUCAGUAAUUUCACAGCCAUUCGAGUUGCCAAGUAAAUCCUGUACAUUUUGUAGAUACAAGUAAUUACUGUGAAAUAGAAACACAAUAAUUUUUGUAAUUAGAAAGGUGUACAGGAACUGUAAAAAUAAUACAGCAAAUUGCUGUUGUUAUGAACAGUACGUUAUUGUAGUACAUCUACAGCAACAUGUUGUAAUUCUAAUUUACAGUACUUUUUGAUAUUAAUUUACUGUAAUUUCUACAGUACAUUUUUUACAGUGCAGCUCAUCAGCAGCCUGCAGGAGGAUAAAUAUGAAUGGUCUUCUUGCCCAAGGAAUGAGCCACCCAGCAUGGCUGCCAAUGUGAUAAGGAUGCAACCAGGGCCGACGAGGAUGGUGGUUACUCAUAUGCAGGACAUACAUUUUUCUUUUGACUGUUCAUCCCAGACACCAUCCAGAAAAUUAUUCUGGACUGCACUACUUUGAAGGGAAGGCAUGUUUUUGGAGAGAGAUGGAAGGAGACGGACCAAACUCAUUUACAUGCAUACUUUGGGGUUUUUAUCCUUGCUGGUGUUAUCAGAAUCCCUGUGGGAUGCAGAAACUGAAAGAUAACUUAUCCGUGGAACAAUGUCCCUGAAAAACCGAGACACCAGACCAGCUCGGCGGCAGAGAGACAAGCUAGCUGCAAUCAGGUCAGUCUGGGACAAGUAGGUGGACCACCUUCCCCUGUUUUACAACCCUGGGCCCAACGUUAAUGUUGAUGAACAGAUUAUGCCAUUUAGGGGCCGCUGCCCCUUCAGGCAGUACAUACCGUCUAAACCCCAAAAAUAUGGAAUCAAGAUCUGGGCUGCCUGUGAUGUUGCUUCAUCUUAUGCGUGGAACUUGCGAGUGCAUACGGGGAAACCAGAUGGAGGAGCCCCUGAGAAGAACCAAGGUAUGCAGGUUAUCCUGGAUGUGACACAGGGACUCUGUGGCCACAACAUCACAUGCAAUAACUUUUUUACUUCCCACAAGCUGGGACAGGAGACGAUGGUAGGAACAGUACGAAAAAACAAGCCAGAGCUCCCACCUCAGCUGUUGAAUACACAGAACAGGCCUAUCAAUUCCUCUAAGUUUGUGUUCACUGCCGACACGUCCCUAGUGUACUACGUGCCCAAGAAAGGCAAAAAUGUGUUCGCUGCCUAGGGAUGGGAGAAUCUGUGGCCAGGAACAUCAAAAAUCAGAAAUCAUAAUGGAUUACAAUGCCACAAAAGGAGGGGUGGACAAUUUAGACAAGCUGGUGACUGACUACAUCUGCAAAAGAAGAACCCUACGCUGGCCACUUGUGAUAUUCUUCAACAUCUUGGUGUUCAACGCCUUUGUCAUCUGGAUGGCGUUGAACCCAGAUUGGAAGAGAGGGAAGCUUGAGAGAAGACAGCCAAAUCCAAAGGAGGCAACAUAUCCCAAGGACCUCAGCUUCUGCAGUCAUCAUGAGGAUGCUGAUGCCCCAUCCACCCGACCCACAGAACCAACAACUCCAAUACCGGAAAUUGCAGCCGGUAGCAACAAGAAGAAGCGCUGCGGUGUGUGUGGGCUCAAGAAGGACAGGAAGACACAGUACAGUACACAUGCAUCAAGUGCAAGAUAUACAUUGGCAAAGCACAGACACAGUAAAACUCUGUCCCUCGUGUGUAGACCGACCUUAAUUUGUGUUCAAUGGUGCUCA